rnacentral:rRNA from 1 species
GUAGGAGAACGCUGGCGGCGUGCUUAACACAUGCAAGUCGAACGAUGAUCUCCAGCUUGCUGGGGGGAUUAGUGGCGAACGGGUGAGUAACACGUGAGUAACCUGCCCUUGACUCUGGGAUAAGCCUGGGAAACUGGGUCUAAUACCGGAUACGACCGUCCCGCGCAUGCGGUGGUGGUGGAAAGCUUUUGCGGUUUUGGAUGGACUCGCGGCCUAUCAGCUUGUUGGUGGGGUAAUGGCCUACCAAGGCGACGACGGGUAGCCGGCCUGAGAGGGUGACCGGCCACACUGGGACUGAGACACGGCCCAGACUCCUACGGGAGGCAGCAGUGGGGAAUAUUGCACAAUGGGCGAAAGCCUGAUGCAGCGACGCCGCGUGAGGGAUGACGGCCUUCGGGUUGUAAACCUCUUUCAGUAGGGAAGAAGCGAAAGUGACGGUACCUGCAGAAGAAGCGCCGGCUAACUACGUGCCAGCAGCCGCGGUAAUACGUAGGGCGCAAGCGUUAUCCGGAAUUAUUGGGCGUAAAGAGCUCGUAGGCGGUUUGUCGCGUCUGCUGUGAAAGACCGGGGCUCAACUCCGGUUCUGCAGUGGGUACGGGCAGACUAGAGUGAUGUAGGGGAGACUGGAAUUCCUGGUGUAGCGGUGAAAUGCGCAGAUAUCAGGAGGAACACCGAUGGCGAAGGCAGGUCUCUGGGCAUUAACUGACGCUGAGGAGCGAAAGCAUGGGGAGCGAACAGGAUUAGAUACCCUGGUAGUCCAUGCCGUAAACGUUGGGCACUAGGUGUGGGGGACAUUCCACGUUUUCCGCGCCGUAGCUAACGCAUUAAGUGCCCCGCC